rnacentral:sRNA from 1 species
GUGUUAAUAAAACAAGCCGUGCCAGC